rnacentral:rRNA from 1 species
CCCUUAGAUGUUCUGGGCCGCACGCGCGCUACACUGAUUCAUGCAACAAGUUUUGUCCUUGGCUGAAAGGCCUGGGUAAUCUUUGAACGUGAAUCGUGCUGGGGAUAGAUGAUUGCAAUUAUUCAUCUUCAACGAGGAAUUCCUAGUAAACGCAAGUCAUCAGCUUGCAUUGAUUACGUCCCUGCCCUUUGUACACACCGCCCGUCGCACCUACCGAUUGAAUGGUCCGGUGAAAUCUUCGGAUCUGAGAGAUGUUGGAUUAAUUUCUGACGCCUUUUGGAAAAGUCGCUUAAACCUUAUCAUUUAGAGGAAGGUGAAGUCGUAACA